UCCUGACCUCACUCACUCAACUUGGCUGUGACGUGCCGUUUGAUCCGCCACAACCUCCUUGAGUGAGUGUAGUAAGGC
rnacentral:pre_miRNA from 1 species